AUUGAACGCUGGCGGCAGGCUUAACACAUGCAAGUCGAGCGGAGACUUCGGUCUUAGCGGCGAACGGGUGAGUAAUACCUAGGAAUCUGCCUAUUAGUGGGGGAUAACGAAUCGAAAGGUUCGCUAAUACCGCAUACGUCCUACGGGAGAAAGGGGGGAGUCUUCGGACCUCUCGCUAAUAGAUGAGCCUAGGCCGGAUUAGCUAGUUGGUAGGGUAAAGGCCUACCAAGGCGACGAUCUGUAGCUGGUCUGAGAGGAUGGCCAGCCACACUGGAACUGAGACACGGUCCAGACUCCUACGGGAGGCAGCAGUGGGGAAUAUUGGACAAUGGGGGCAACCCUGAUCCAGCCAUGCCGCGUGUGUGAAGAAGGCCUUCGGUUGUAAGACGACUUAAGUCGAGGAGGAAGG
rnacentral:rRNA from 1 species